rnacentral:rRNA from 1 species
UACGUAGGUGGCAAGCGUUGUCCGGAUUUAUUGGGUUUAAAGGGUGCGUAGGCGGCUUUGUAAGUCAGUGGUGAAAUAUGGCAGCUCAACUGUCAAGGUGCCAUUGAUACUGCGGAGCUUGAGUACAGAUGAGGUAGGCGGAAUUGACGGUGUAGCGGUGAAAUGCUUAGAUAUCGUCAAGAACACCUAUAGCGAAGGCAGCUUACUAGGCUGUAACUGACGCUGAGGCACGAAAGUGUGGGGAUACAAACAGG